GAUGAACGCUGGCGGCGUGCCUAAUACAUGCAAGUCGAGCGAACGGACGAGAAGCUUGCUUUUCUGACGUUAGCGGCGGACGGGUGAGUAACACGUGGAUAACCUACCUAUAAGACUGGGAUAACUUCGGGAAACCGGAGCUAAUACCGGAUAAUAUUUUGAACCGCAUGGUUCAAUAGUGAAAGACGGUCUUGCUGUCACUUAUAGAUGGAUCCGCGCUGCAUUAGCUAGUUGGUAAGGUAACGGCUUACCAAGGCAACGAUGCAUAGCCGACCUGAGAGGGUGAUCGGCCACACUGGAACUGAGACACGGUCCAGACUCCUACGGGAGGCAGCAGUAGGGAAUCUUCCGCAAUGGGCGAAAGCCUGACGGAGCAACGCCGCGUGAGUGAUGAAGGUCUUCGGAUCGUAAAACUCUGUUAUUAGGGAAGAACAAAUGUGUAAGUAACUGUGCACAUCUUGACGGUACCUAAUCAGAAAGCCACGGCUAACUACGUG
rnacentral:rRNA from 1 species